GUCAGAAGGUGAAUAGUAACCUAAUUCUACAUUGCAGUGCCUACGUCAUACACCUGAGUUCGUCUCAUCCUGUAGGGUACACUCCCCACUCAGUUCUAACUAAUCGUGAUGGCAUGCGGCGUGGACCUAACCCUUUACCACUUUCAAGCUCUCCACAAGGAUUAACUAAUUAAUUCAUUUCAUAAAAGGUGCAAACCUCUUCGUGGACUGGGCCUGGCUCCAGGGCUGGGAGUCAAUCAUCAGUGGAUGUACACACCCUAGUUGUCCUCAGAGCCACUGAGCCCCAGGAGGGCAGUGGGCAGAGCUGUUUUUUUUUAAUCACUAUACACAGUACACAUUGUCUUAUAUAAGACAAUGCUUAGCACAUUUUAGGGACUCUGUAUAUUUGUUGAAUAAAGUAAUGAAUAUGAUUAUCUAGUUGUGACCUUGGCCAAGUCACAGCAUUGCUGAGGCUCAGAUCUGUACAACUACAUCUGUGUAAUCCCAUCUGUAUGAUUUGUACAACUGGAAAGUCGCACUGGAUGCCUGCCAAUCCUCUUCCAUUUAACAAACAAAAACCAAAAGCUAAGACUGAAAAGGAAUAGUAGAGUGCUUUCUGUUGCUUUCCCUCUUUAAAGCAUAAUUCAACUUUUUGGGCCAUAAUGACUUUUUCAGAGGUUUGUUGUAAUGUUUUUCUCCUGAAUGAAGGUGUUGAUUCUUUACAGGUGAAUCCUGCUUUAUAAGGGACCCCAGGUGAGGAAGGGACCCCCGCACACUAAGUUUUUAAUUUAAAAACGAAGUGUUGGAGGAUGGGGAACCUUGCUAUAGUUUUUAUCUAAAGGCCUAGAUAAUAACU